UACGUAGGGUGCGAGCGUUGUCCGGAAUUAUUGGGCGUAAAGGGCUCGUAGGCGGUCUGUUGCGUCGGUAGUGAAAACUCAGGGCUUAACCCUGAGCCUGCUUCCGAUACGGGCAGACUAGAGGUAUGCAGGAGAGGAACGCGGAAUUCCAGGUGUAGCGGUGAAAUGCGUAGAUAUCUGGAGGAACACCGGUGGCGAAGGCGGCGUUCUGGACUGCAACUGACACUGUAAAACGAAAGCCAGGGGAGCAAACGGG
rnacentral:rRNA from 1 species